rnacentral:rRNA from 1 species
GUUGUCGUCAGCUCGUGUCGUGAGAUGUUGGGUUAAGUCCCGCAACGAGCGCAACCCUUAAGCUUAGUUGCCAUCAUUAAGUUGGGCACUCUAAGUUGACUGCCGGUGACAAACCGGAGGAAGGUGGGGAUGACGUCAAAUCAUCAUGCCCCUUAUGAUUUGGGCUACACACGUGCUACAAUGGACAAUACAAAGGGCAGCGAAACCGCGAGGUCAAGCAAAUCCCAUAAAGUUGUUCUCAGUUCGGAUUGUAGUCUGCAACUCGACUACAUGAAGCUGGAAUCGCUAGUAAUCGUAGAUCAGCAUGCUACGGUGAAUACGUUCCCGGGUCUUGUACACACCGCCCGUCACACCACGAGAGUUUGUAACACCCGAAGCCGGUGGAGUAACCUUUUAGGAGCUAGCCGUCGAAGGUGGGACAAAUGAUUG